GUGCGAGUCACAGUCCCAGUCCCACCCCGCCGUGCCCAGGGCGGGGGAGCCCCAGCCCGCGCUUCGCCUGAGGGGAGGGAGCCCGCGGCCCGGGCCCCGGGAGCGCCCUGCCCGCCGUGAGGGGCUGAGGGAAGGGGGGCCCUGGCCUGCGGCCCCCGGGCACAAAAUGGCCAUCGCGGCGGUUACCGAGGCGGAAACGCGGCUCUGCGGGAACUGCAAAAAGGACAUCCCUGCUGUUAAUUUCAUCAUCCAUGAAAUCCACUGUAGCAGAAAUCUUGAAGUAUGCUGCUACUGCAGCGAAUCCAUCCCGAAGUCCGAAAUGAAGAACCACAUUGAGUCCGAGCACGUGCAGGUUACCUGCAAGUGCAGGAUGAAGAUAGAAAACAGUCUCCUGAAGGAUCAUGAGGCGUCAGCGUGCCCUCUGCGUCCUGCCCUCUGCCAGUACUGUGAUAUACAGCUUACGUUCAAGGAGCUGCUGGACCAUGAAGUUUACUGUGGGGCCAGGACUGAGCUUUGUGGAGGAUGCGGUCGUAACAUCAUGGUGAAAGAUCUCCAAGAGCAUCCUCGAGUCUGUGGGCAAGAGGUGAAGCAAGUGAGAGGAGUGGCUCGCUUUGAGGAUGAGGCUGUAGUUUUGCGUGCCCUUCAAGAUGUCAGAAGGCAACUCGGAUCAGGGAAUGAACUGGAGCAGUUGGGGAGAAGUGAAAGUGCCCAUUCUGCACUAGACGAGGGGUGGAACCCUGACUUAGACUACGCCUUGGCUCUCAGCCUCCAGAAUGAGGAUCAUCAGCACAAGAACACUGCAGCUGAAAUUCCCAGUGACUUCUGGGAAAACUGCUACACCAGAGAGUCUGUGUCAUCUGCCUAUCGUAACGAUAGAGACGAGUUGGAUACCUUCUGUGACUCUUUCGUGCCUUCUAGCAUGUCAAACAUCAGUAAAAAUGAGAUCAUCAUGUUGCCGUGUGAGUUUUGUGAGGAGCUCUACCCUGCUGAGGACCUGAUUCUUCACCAGACAGGUUGUAACCCAGCAAGUGCCUUUGCCUCGUUCAGUAAAAGAAGUUCUUCUCCGAAUCCAUGGGAAUACGAUGGUCUGCGUGCUGGUGGGUCCAAAGGCUUUGGGUCUCUCUCCUCAUCCCAGCCCCAAGCUGUGCAGGCAGAGGAAGACAUUAUCAUUCCCUGUGAGUUUUGUGGCAUCCAGCUGGAAGAGGAGACACUCUUCCAUCAUCAGCACCACUGUGACCUGCGCCCAGCCAGCCCUGCCACCAGCUUCCCAUCUUGGCAGCCGCCCUCUCCACAGGCCAGCAGAGAGAGAAGAGGAUCAGCAGAGCUGGCUCGGCAACGGGCCCGGCCCCAAGUGCUGUAUUUUGCCCUCCCAGGAGAUGGUUCUGCUUGGAGCACAGGCGGCUUUGGGCAGCAGGAGUUGAGCUGUCCUGCACGAGGGACCACAGCCCGGAGUAGCGCGGCACACGCCAGGAACGCACCCCUGGCCUCUUCCCUGAGAGCUGGAGAUGCUUCUGCCUCCAGAGGGAAGCCCAGGAAGGCGUCUGUCAAUGAGGGGAGGCCGAGGACCAGAGCCACAGGCGAGCCUGCGGGUGGGAAAACACCACAUGUGAGACCUGCUCAGAACUGCCAUUCAGAAGGCUUCACAUCCAGCAUCUCCAGAGCUUCACCAGGCCAGCCAAGGGCCAGCAACGGAGGAGGAAGGAGCCCUGGGGCAUGGGAACGUCCAGGCAGCCUCAGGUGCAGGAACACCAAGGCCAAAGCCCAGAGCCCAGCACGUGGACAGCCAGAGGAGCAGAGACCCACCACCAACGGGAAGCACGUUUAGCUCUACACAGUUACUGCACCCUCUACUACUUACUUCUCCGAGCGCAAGUAAACUCCUCUAUGGCCUGUAUUAUAGGCUUUUACUGCUGUGCUCUGCACUGGACCCCACCCCAAGACAGCAACGUGGGCAGCACCUGCAUUAUGUUUCCAUGGGGGCUCAUUGUGCCACCCAGUGAAGGAGGUUUUGCUGUUC